rnacentral:misc_RNA from 1 species
UUAGGCAGCGACAUCCGCUUGUUCAUUCUUGCUCAGGACUUGCCCAAGAUCAUCUUGACUUGGCUCUUUUUGGUACACUGUGUUGCAUGCCAACAUUGAUGGAAUUUUUGAUGCUGCCGUUUGUCCCUAAAUUCACCUUGUGCUGCUAAUGUGGUGUGGGUUGAACAACGUAGUGCCUCGUGAUGCCCUGGCCGUCUUCACAUCUUGUGUUGUCGGUUUGGUUGACACGGGAAACUCGAACUCUCGGAUACAGAAAGUAAUGUUGGGCGUAUGGGGUCUAGCACUCCGUAAGCCUAGAUUGAGCGCUCUUGCCAACAACGUUGACUUCCAGGGUCUCCAACUGUAGGGAAAGCUGGCUGCCGUUGUUGGGCAGAGAGUGUCGAAAGACAAACUGUCGAACCUUUGUUCCGUAGGGGUCCGGAGGCGUAUGACCGUACGACCGAAGGCUGCUCGGGACGGGGCACAUCGGCAUGUUUGCCAAUGAAUGUUACCUGG